CCUCCUUGUUUGGGGACUGAAACUGUCUUUGAUAUAAUCUAAGCAAAAUCUAAUUAGGAAAGUGUGUGUAUAUAUACAUACAUGUAUAUGUCAGGGAUAAACAGGAGUUUUUAAAGUUAUCUGAGGGUCAGAAUUGUCCACAUUUCUUAUGUUAUGAGAGAUAGGACUGAUCACUCUCAGAUAAAUAUUAACUAUGUCUUUUUUUUUUUUUUUGUAUUUUGAUGCUCUGAUAUCUGGGGCCUUGCUGACUUCUGGAGGCUAGCCAGUCUCUGAAGAUAGUAAACAAUUUGCUCUGGAACACGCUUUUCAAAAGCAAACCGAUCAAUCCAGAGACCAUACCCCCAACCACCUCCUCUAGUGGGCUUUCACAAUCGGGGCCACCAUUUCCCCACCCUAAUCACCCCAGGGCCAAGUAUGAGACAACUACAGCCAGCUCCUAUGCCUCAGAACCCACUGAUAAUAUUCAAACUAGCCAAUCCUAAACCUGCCCAAUCCUCCCUGUGAAAACCAUACUAGAGGAUCUCAUCCACGUUUUCCUCCCUCUCUCAGCCUCCUGACCCACCCCAGGUCUGCCCCAUGUGGUACCCGAGAAUGCAGUGUACGCUUCUCUUGGGAUCUGGCGAUGGUGUGCUAGUCUGAAAAUGUACAGCAAGGGCCAGAGGAGUCUUAUGUACCCUUGCAGGUACCAUCAGCGGAUGCUGCUAGUGUCCAGGUAUCUUGACACUGUGCUGCUGGACUGGGAUCCCCCAGGACCACUGCCUGAAGGAAGGCAACACAGUCCCGGACGCAGGCAGAGAGACCUGGCAUCAGCAUUACUGUGUCUGGAUCAAUUCUCUAUAGGGUAAUGGUACCUGUAUCCCUCCUUGCCCAAGAGGAACAAGGUAUAUCCUGAUUAUAUGGGCCCCUGGGUGGGUUGUUAAACGUUUCUGUGUCUCUAAUGUGUGAAAGGACAUGUGAUUAAAUGCACUUGUAAGAUCUCUCCUAGUUUACUAUUUCUAAUAGAAAUGAAUACAUAUAACCCUUGGUCACAUAGACUAUGGAGUCUUUUCAUAUUUCAAGUUUUCUCAGUAAGAAUUUUUAUCUUUACUUUUGUGGGAAA
rnacentral:lncRNA from 10 species